ACUACGGGAGGCUGCAGUGGGGGAUAUUGCACAAUGGGGGGAACCCUGAUGCAGCGACGCCGCGUGGGUGAAGAAGCGCCUCGGCGCGUAAAGCCCUGUCAGCAGGGAAGAAAAUGACGGUACCUGAAGAAGAAGCCCAGGCUAACUACGUGACAGCAGCCGCGGUAAUACGUAGGGGGCAAGCGUUAUCCGGAUUUACUGGGUGUAAAGGGGGGGCAGACGGCGAUGCAAGCCAGGAGUGAAAGCCCGGGGCCCAACCCCGGGACUGCUCUUGGAACUGCGUGGCUGGAGUGCAGGAGGGGCAGGCGGAAUUCCUGGUGUAGCGGUGAAAUGCGUAGAUAUCAGGAGGAACACCGGUGGCGAAGGCGGCCUGCUGGACUGCAACUGACGUUGAGGCCCGAAAGCGUGGGGAGCAAACAGGAUUAGAUACCCUUGUAGUC
rnacentral:rRNA from 1 species